CCUACGGGUGGCAGCAGUGAGGAAUAUUGGUCAAUGGACGCAAGUCUGAACCAGCCAUGCCGCGUGCAGGAAGACGGCUCUAUGAGUUGUAAACUGCUUUUGUACGAGGGUAAACUCAGAUACGCGUAUCUGUCUGAAAGUAUCGUACGAAUAAGGAUCGGCUAACUCCGUGCCAGCAGCCGCGGUAAUACGGAGGAUUCAAGCGUUAUCCGGAUUUAUUGGGUUUAAAGGGUGCGUAGGCGGUCGGAUAAGUUAGAGGUGAAAGCCCGAGGCUCAACUUCGGAAUUGCCUCUGAUACUGUUCGGCUAGAGAGUAGUGGCGGUAGGCGGAAUGUAUGGUGUAGCGGUGAAAUGCUUAGAGAUCAUACAGAACACCGAUUGCGAAGGCAGCUUACCAAGCUACUUCUGACGUUGAGGCACGAAAGCGUGGGGAGCAAACAGGAUUAGAUACCCCUGUAGUC
rnacentral:rRNA from 1 species